rnacentral:rRNA from 1 species
AACGAACGCUGGCGGCAGUCCUAACACAUGCAAGUCGAGCGCGCCCUUCGGUUUUAGUGGCGGACGGGUGAGUAACGCGUGGGAACGUGCCCUUUUCUACGGAAUAGCCUCGGGAAACUGAGAGUAAUACCGCAUACGCCCUCCGGGGGACAGAUUUAUCGGAAUAGGAUCGGCCCGCGUUGGAUUCGGUCGUUGGUUGGGUAAUGGCCUCCCAAGCCGACGAUCCAUAGCUGGUUUGAGUGGAUGAUCAGCCACACUGGGACUGAGACACGGCCCAGACUCCUACGGGAGGCAGCAGUGGGGGAUCUUAGACGAUGGGGGCAACCCUGAUCGAGCCAGGCCGGGUGAGUGAUGAAGGCCGUAGGGUUGUAAAGCUCUUUCAGCUGGGAAGAUAAUGACGGUACCAGCAGAAGAAGCCCCGGCUAACUCCGUG